GGCGCCGAGGGAGCGUAGGGCCGAGCCCCGGCCGUGCGGGAGCGGGAGGGAAGGGGCAGGCGGCGGGCGCGGAUUGCCCCGCCGGCAGCCCCCGCGGGAAAGGCGCCGGCGACCGCCCGGAGCCCCCGUGUCGGGGGGAGGGCGGAGCUGCUCGCCCACAGCAGAGGAGCGGUACCCCCUGCCAGCCCCGCACCGCCGCUCCCCGCCUGCCCUGCGCUGAGCCUCCCGCUCUUGCCUUAAAUCCCGGCUCCCUGGGGCAGAGCGGGAGCGCGGCGGUCCUCGAGUCGCCUGCAGGGAGGGCUCGGGGUCUCCCUUCGCCUCAGGGGACGGGGCGACAGCUGCUGGAAUUCUUUCUUGCUGAUGAAAUGUGAUCCACGGUCUGUUUUAAAACAGGUUUCUGACAAUAUAAAAGCGAAAAAUACUAAGGAGGGACAGAUUCAAAGACGACCCAAAGCUGUUUGGAAAUGACUUUGUCCCUUUCUGAGAGCAUCUGGCGUCUGCUUUUGAUGAUGGAUUACAGAUUUGUAAUCUUACUGAAACCUACACAACUCAAAGUUCCUGUAUAAGACAAACAGAAGUUUACUGCUCACCAAGUCUACAUAUAAAUUUAUAGUUAUCAAAGACUGCCCUCUGUUGAUCUAGUAUAAUCUUAACAUCUUAGAAGCCCGAUUUUUGUUAUUACAUUACUUUUCGUAGGAGUUUUGUACUUAACGAUGGAAUUAAUUCCAGAGAUGCUCUUCAAAUAAAUUAGUAAAAAUGAAAUAAUUUUGAUGAUUAAAUACUGGGAAAGGACACUAAAUAUGACAUAAAUAUGUCAGGGGUUUUUAACAUUUUCCAAAAAGAUGUGCCAUCUCUUGCCGAUGUAUAUAAACUAUCUUGCCAAGGAAAUCAGAGGAGCAGGGGGAGAGGAUGGAAACAGCAUAUGAGAUUCAUGGGAGCAUUUGGACACUUAUUGGUUGUAUAAGUAAUUUUGCUAUUACAAUUCAGCUCUGAAGGCCAUGUAAAAGCAAGGUGUACAGGACCUACUGUGGCACAGAGAAAAUUUUCAUCAUUCACAGGUGAUUCGGUGUACAAAGACCAAAGAACAGUCCUAUAUAAAUAGUCUGCCAAAACAGAGUAAAAAUUUGAAAAUGUUAAAUCAGCCAGAUGAGAGAGUGUCUCACUUCCCUGUGUGUAGCUGUACUUAACCAAAAACGUUUUUGUUGCUUCCAUACUCACUUUUUCUUCUCUUAUUUCAUCAAUGAAUUAUUGUGCAAGUGGUUAUUUAUAAAUUAUCUGGCACAGUUUUUUGCCUGGGUAUAUGCAAGAAUAUUGCCAAACUAACUUUCAGUGAUCCUUUUUCUGCCAAGUAUCUCAAGAGGCAGACAGCUGACUCAAGAAUCCUCUGUCCCUGAUAUGUCUUCUUUACCAUCACGCUCUGUAAAUGUGGCAUUGUCUUGAAGCUGUUCUCCAUUUCUUUCAUGACUUCUGUUUCAGUCCAAAUAUCUGUUGCCCUGCAGGCAGAGAUGCUCCUGAAAAGUCCAACACCACUAAAUCUUGCAUCCAUAGUUUUAGUUCCCUUUGCCUCAGGUAAAUGUUUGUCUUGCAGUGUGAAGAAACUUCACUGGCUUCUGUCAGGAUAAGGUUUCAUUCCUUGACUAGUGAAACUCUAUACAGUCUGUUCUCAGAAUUGUUUUCUGUUGAUGCUGGGAUGAGUAUAAUGCUGGUUUCUACAUUUCAUGUACCUACAGUAAAUGUGACCACAUGACCCAGCCAACAUUUACUCCAAAACCCAAUCCAAAAUCACUCUCCAUGUUUCUAAAGCUCUUCUUAGACUUUUGUCUUAGUACCUUGUGAUGUUUCUUCUGCUGUUGCCCCAGUAAUUGUUUUCACUUGCCUAGCACUGGCACCCUGCCUACCCUCCAUGUCUCUAGCACUAUUUUUACUUCAACCUUGGUUCUUUGAAAACCUACUUUUCAAGUCAACCUUCUUCAAGCUCCUUCCCACUUUAGAUCUCAUCAGAAGCAAUGUGUUUUCCUUUACAUUUUUUCUCCUCUGCCUUUUGAUCAUUCUUACUCUUGUUUCAAAGCCAAAAUGCAAUUUCUUGAUCUCCUAUUAACAAUGAGAAAAGACUUGGUAAUUUGCUAGAGUAAAUAAGUAGUUCCAUCAAUCUUUCUUACCUAUGGUUUAUGUCUUGUGUUUGGACUCUUCGAAGUUUUUUUACUCUGAUUAUGGAAUUUAUAACAUUGCUUUUAAAUGUACACUGACACACACACAUAUGUUCUUUGAUGUGUAAUGAAAGCAACGAUAGACACUAUAAGCAACAUAGCUGUUUUCAAAAAAUAUUUAAAGACCUGGACUUUUUGAGUCCUCUCUCAGAUUUCCCCUGGAUGAAAUUGGUGAGUGGUUGGAAAUGUUCUUGACAGGAACUGGCCAAAUGCUGUCACCAAUGACAAUGACAAGUUCAUUUCAACGUGGAAUCCAGAAUAGGUGCAUGUUGAUAUGGGUAUGUAUUGUGUUAGACUAUAUUUAUGUAAAUUAUAAUUAUAGCUGAAAUCAUGUAUCAACAAGGAAUUAUUGGUAAGAUAUUUAUUACUUACAGGUAAGUACUUAAUAGCUGGUGGAGGUCAAUACAGUCAAAUCUUCCACGUUUAUACAUUUAUCUGGAAUGCCAAUUUUUAAUUUUUUUUUUUUUUUUUAACUUUAAACUGUGUCUAUACUGGUUAUCUACUCUAAUUUAUAUUGCCAUGUUUUAAUUAGAGAUCACUGCAAUUCCAGUACAGUCAAGUGCUUAUAUAUUUUAUAUUUAAAGUGGUGGACUGACACCACUUUAUUUGAAAAUGAAAACAGAAUGGAAGCUAUUUAGUGGAUAAGACAUCAAAUCCAGGCUAAGUUAUUUAACUCAUCCUGUCCCACAAAUGUCCUACAAAUACAUAUUUUCUUGUUAGGACACAUGCAACAUUGGGUUUUUUUUCUGGUAACACAUGCCUGUUGUUAUAAAAAAUUGCAACAGAGACUUAUUGCCCUUCCUCUCCCUGUUCUUAUACUUUCAGAAAGGAUGAAUAAUGGCUUCUCAGUAAAGCUGUUUUGUGCUGUGGCUUGUGUGCAUUUUGACAUCUGCAAUACAGGCAUUUUAUUAGUGUAACCUGUGGAAAACAUUAAUGGCUGAGAGAGCAGAGAUCGCUUGGUUGGUGCUAGAGUUAAGGUUAUUCAGCUGAUGGUGCAGUCUUCUGAACUAGAUAGAAAGUGAGAGAGAAUCAAAUUCUGAUUUUCAUGACAGAGUUGUUUAUGAGUCCACGUUUGAUUUCUGUAUUAAGAACUGUAAGUUUAAAAAGUAGGAGUUCAAAUUCAUUUCAUUCUAGCACAGAUGUUAAAGGUGGCUGAGGUGAAACUUUUUGGAGUAGUCCAUUCCUCUCUCUUGACUACAGUUUAGUAUCAUUGACUGGUAGUGGCAGUGUUCUGGCUGUUAUGAUUUAAGGGUUACUCCCUUAAAUAAGCAAAGGAAAACUUGUACAUAAAGGUAAUAUCUUUUAAGAGAUUUAAUAGAAAUUACUGAGGAAAAAUAGAAAAGCCUUUGACCACAUAAGCCUAUCUUAUCUCCUGGCCUGCCAUAGAAACAGAGAAUUAAGAAUAUUUGACCAAAAUUAACUUUCUUAUAAGUCUAUGAAGUAACUUGAGGAGAAGUUGGGCAGUUCCUGUAGAAUGAAGGCGUGCAUGAUGAAAUUUCAUUCAGAGGAUGAUCUUCCUCCAUCAUGGGUUACAAUGGUUAAUAAUUUUCUGCAUGUUUCAUGUUUAGCUGAAUGAUCAGUGGUGGGGAGAGACUUGUAUUGCACCAAGUACUUACAUCAUAUUAAGGUAGCUCAUUCAAAGAGCCAAUCCAUUUUUCUCUAGAGGAUUGAUCUCAGUGGUCGAGAAGCUUUUAUAACAUGAGCAUGAUAUUGUUCUUCUCAAAAUAAUUGCAGCAAUAUCUAGAUGUAUGUUGCUAUCUUUUUUAUGUGUUUUGGAUGGCUGCUGGUCUUAUGUUUGUGGGUGAGUAAGUUGAAUUGUUGGUAACAGUGCAGUAAUUCUGCAGCUGACAGAGAAUUAUAUUUAGUUAUAAUAUUUAGAAUUAUUUGCAUUUAUCUGAGCCAAGAUGUUGAUUUUUGCCUAUUAACAGAACUCUUUUCUAUCAACUAAAUAUUUUUUAUACACACCUAUACUACAAACAUGACAUACUGCACAUUUUAUACAGUAUAUAGUCAAGUUCCAUGACAAAGAUUGUUAAACUAGGCCUGGAAUAUCAGUCAAACAAGCUGUCAGGUAUCCCCAAAUUGAAUGCUUUUAAUGAUUGAGGACACUAUGGUAUAUGUCAUAAAAUAAAACAAAUUCUUUUGAAGGAUGAUCCUGCCAUCUUUGUGUUGACCUUGCAUAACUAUUAAAAUUGCAUAUCAAAGGCUGAAGAAACUGUAGUUUAAGCACUUAAGAUGCCAUUCACUGUAAUUUUCUCUCUCCUGCUUUAUAAGAGAAAUUUUACCUAAUCUUUGUAGCUUCAGUUGUCAUAACAAACCCACCCCACACAGGCGGUUUCAUCAUAUUAUAAUUCAAACAGUAUCACAGCCAAAUACACAAUUUCCUGUGACUGUAAACUAUUGGCCUUUAUGUUAGACAGCCACAGGCUGAAAAGUAAAUGAGAACUAAGCCUUAAGAUUGUGAAGAGGACAAGAACCAGCAUUCCCCCUCCCUUUUCAUAUCCAGAUAGUGAUGUCAACCACUUACUAUGUUUCCUUUCUCCAUAGACAUUUCCCUAAAUUAGCCAAUGUUAACUUUACUCCCAUUUUGCACACAACUGGGGUGAAUACAGACAACUUAACCUUUUAGGUCUGAUACUGUGACUUCCACUCAGAUGAACCUCAUAUUGUGUUCCAUGAGUUUUGCCAAGAUAAGAAUCACAGGAAGCUUAAAAUGUGACAGAUGAGGAUUUUGUUAAUGUGUAAGUCAUAUGGAUGUAGGUGUCUGUUUCACCUGCAUACCUAUUAAAAUUAGGCAUUUGUAACAUUGCAAGUUGAUCUCCAGACACUUAAGUAAAUUGGUUUCAAACCAGUUCUCCAGACUUUUAUUCGCAUUCAAAUGAACCAUCAAUUAGUGUCAAUAUAUACUAUGAAAUAGGAGCUAUUCUGGAGAAACAGCUAUAAAACCUCUGGAUCAAACUGAUUUUACCUUACCAGUAAUGCAGAAGGUGUUCAUCACAGACAAAACCCAGCAGUUAACAAGAAUCCCAAUUUCAGGUUACAGCUCAUUGUAAAGGGAAGAUUUUUGAAGGCAUGGAUAAGUACUUGAUGCCUAACUUUUGUCAGAGGCUGAAGGAGUUAAUGUCUCAAACACUGUGGUGGGCCAAGUUCUGCUCAGUGGUGCGCUCUGCGUAACCACGAACCUGCCCAGCAACGAACCCAGCCGCAGGCUCAGCUCACCAUACAUGGCCAAAGGUCCAAGAACGGUUGUACCUGCGGGGAGGGAGAAGUCACUCCCCAAACGACCCCAAGCCCACCGACCCAUUUCCAAAAGGUUCUGGAAGCACUAACUGUGCAUGACACCUAA